AUCUUCCUCUUGCUUCUUUACUUUAUUUUGGUCUCAACUAGCUAUUGAUAUCAUCCAAGAAACAUCAUCAGUUCACUAAAGUAAACUGUGUCUUAAGAAAACACUGUCCUCCUCAUUGUUGAGAAGAAUAUUCUGAUUUUUUCCUCUCAUAUAUGAAUAACUGAUACCAUGGCAUAAUACGUUUAUUAGAAAGGAAGCAUUGAGGGAACAUGGCUUUUGUUUGUUUCUUUGUGUUUAGUAUCAAGAAGAGCCCACAGCAUCGAUGUGAGAUUGGAUAGGUUCAUUUUCAAACCAAUUAUGUUUGAAGUUGGAAGUUUGGAGUGUUCUUAGACUGCAUAGAAAACCCAAAUUGCCCUUUAACUUGAUGACUGUGGACUUCAAAUUCUAGUCUCCUGAUAACAUUCUAAAUUCACUGAAGACUGCUUACAAAAUCAUACUUUAAAAAGACUCACGUCUAUUUGGGGGGGCUAAACAUGACCAAUAAGUAAAGAUAUUUCUCUGAGUCAUAUACAGAAGGCGACAUAUCCAAUUACUUUUAUUCAAGUAAGACAUAAUUAAUGAUCUGAUUAAGGGACAAAAAUUAGACUGCUUUGUACUGACGGUAUGAGUAAAGUAAAGAGGAAUGUUGAAGGAGAGAAACUUCUUUCCCUUUAACUGUGAUGCACACUUGGAGUCUGACAGCACCUUACUUACCUGGAGUCUGGCUUCAUGCCAAUGAGUCAAUUUCUCCCUCUAGGUAGAAGUCCAUACGUCUCAAAAGGUUUACCACACUCCUUUUGAUCAUCAGGAAGUACAUGAUAUCACCUCCUUCUGUACUUUCUUGAGCUCCGACUUACUGUCCCUGUUCCUCCUCUUGCUUUCUGAAUCUAACCUGGAGAUGGAAAUGAAAUAAAAGAACCAUUGUAUGGUCUCACAAGCAUAUACAUAGCACUUGUAUCUGUGUACUCCAUGAAUUUGUGAGUUAUCUUCCAUAGACUUAGAGUCCACAGUAGGAAAGUUUUGUGAAAUUAGUUGGUUAGGAGUUGCUCUCAGAAGGGAAAUGUAGGAAGCAGAAUCAGGAAAGAGAAGGAAUCUAAGUAAAGACGCAAUCUUAAUUGAAGUGUUUUCCAUCCUGAAAUAUAAGGUGUGGCAGAAAACUGUUCUUCUAAAGGGAAAGGAGGCAGCCCUGGCCUUUGUCUGCUCAGUAGAGUAGGAUGUAUGCCCACCAUGACCUCACUGGCAAUAAACUCUUAUCCCAUACUGUUUUACAACAGCCAGAGGCUGCAGCAAUCUACAUUCACCCGCAGAAGUGUGAUGAUGUCUCCCCCUUCACAGGUGAGAGAGACUGGGGCAUGGCAUCAGCUGUAUUUCCUCUGGCUUACCGAUCUCAAAGACUCAUGGAUCACAGUUAUAGCCAUUUUUAAUACCCCAAUCACUCUCUCAAAGGGUUGCUACUUGCUACAGCAUUAUUUACAGUGCCUUGAACAUCAUGGCUGGCAUCUUGAAUUUGUUUUGAGGAAGUUCUUGUACUACAAGGCAAUGUGUAUAGAGCAUUUGCAACCCAAAUAACACCUUCUCCUUGAAAGCUCUGAGUGCUUUACAAAGAAGCAUUUUAACAAGUCUCAAGGAACAGUGAAAGGGCUCAAGCAAGAUGGUAAAACAUCUGAUCUAACGAUGAGAAGAUGUUGUUUUAUUACCAGCUUUGAAUAAUAAUUAAAUGAAGCCAUUUCAGCAAAUCCCUCGGAAAUCGUAUUUGCAUUUAUAUAUUUUUUCCGCUUAGUUUUUAUUUAUGUCCCUGAAAACACAUGAUCUUGCACAGUAUUUUUCAACCUCAGCAUAUUCACAUUUGAGGCUGAAAAUUUUUUAAGCUGUGCUCUGCAUUGUAGUGUAUUUAACAGAAUCCCCAGUAGAUGUCAGUGGCCUGUGUACCUGUUCUGCCCUUACACUAUCUGCUGGAAGCUCAACUCAUUCUGGCUGAGUAGCUAAAGGUCUUUCUGGUGACUGCAAAGGGCUUCCAUAGUUCUAUCUUGACUGUGUUCAGUUAUCCUAAUCCUUGAUCUCCUUUUCCGUGGAAUGGCAAGAUACUUGCCCAGAGGGCUUCUCUGCUGUUUUGACUAGUUAAUUCUUAGGAGGGGACAUUGCUCAUUUUAGUCUCUUGUCUUUGUUUCUGCUGAUUAGAAAGGGCCAUUUUAUAGACAUAAGAUAAUAGUGUUCAGUCUUUCAGAGAGACUGACAGAGACCAUGUUGAACAACUUAAAUUCGAGCUUAUACACACACACACACACACACACACUUAUGGUUUUGUAAAUUUAUUCCAUUUUAUUUCAUGUCUUUCUGGGUCUUGAUUUGAACUGCCUAUGAUAUGAAUGGAAAGACAACACCUUCCCCUCUGUGAUCAGUGUCUCUGAGGUCGUAGUUCAUCACAGGAAGAAUUCUACAUGUACGAGUGGAAGGAAGACUCCAGUCUUGAGCUGAUGGCUUAGACUGGAAUGCUUCUCUGUGUGAUAACUGAAAAACAUUCCACUGUUUUUCCUAGAUUCUAUAAGGAAAUUGUAUUACGUAUUCAAGACUUUUCACAAUGCUUAACUAUGUGAGACUCUGGUAAGACACUGUGAAUUCCCUACUGGACAGAUGCCAUUGCUCCCAAUGGAUAAUUGAGAAUCCCCUUUGAGAAGGCCUGCUUACCAAAAGCAACAAUGAAUGAUGGUUUGAAGUUCACACCAAAAUGGUCUAUUGGAAAAGAGAAUAGCUUUGUGAAGUGUGGCAUAGACAGCUGUAACUUGAAAGGCACACAGAGAAGUAUCCCAGUCUCAAUCAUUAUCUCCUGGCUGGUUCCUUCCACUCCUGCAUGUGGAAUUCUUCCUGCCCUGAGCUACGACAUCAGAGACACUGAUCAUAGAGGUGAAGGUGUUGCCUCUGUUUUCCCAUUUAUAUCAUGGGCAGUUCAAGUCAAGACCCAGAAAAACAUGAAAUAAAUUUACAAUACCACAAGAAAGCUCAGUAUUAUUCUUACCAUUAAUAUUGUAAAGAUUUUUCUCAAAUAGUAAAUAUUAUAUUUGCUCAAAAAUAUAUCUUCUUCUGUCUCUUAUAUAAGGUGCAGAUUACUCUGAACUCUCUCCUCUUCUGAAAAGUAUCUGAAUAAGUGAUCUUGAUCUUGAUCCUAAAAUGAAAAGUUCAUGACCAAGAGUGGAAAUUCUAUCUGCACUCUAGACAUGUGAUGGGCAUCUCUAUUGCCAGACUCUGCAUUCUCUUUCCUCUGGAGAAGAGGUUGGAAGACCUUUUCUCUAUAGGCCACACAGAUGGGAAAUAUGUUAGGUAUUUUACACAAUGAGAUCUCUCCUUUAAAAAUCUACCAUUAUGAUUCAAAAGUCACCAUACAAAAAAGACACUGACAUAGCUACAUCCCAAUAAAAUCUCAUUCACAAAAAUAGGUAACAGGCAAGAUUUGGUUUUCAGUCAAUAGUUUAUCAACAGUAAAAUUUAGGAUCUUCUUUUUCAUGUCUACCUACUUUGCUGGCAGUUAUCUAUGUUGUAACAGUGCUUGUAAACCAGCACUUUGCCAGAAGUUAGAUAACAUUCUUGCCAUGUAGAUGAAGUUGCAUUUUGGCACUGUGGUCUGAAUAACUUGGCUUACACAAAAGUGGGUAUCCCAUUACGUAUGCCAAGUAAUUGUUUGGAAAAAUGGCAAGGCAAUAAAUUCUCUGGCUAGUUGUAGAAAUUACACAGUUGAUGAAUUCUAAUUCAAGGAUGAAUUCUAGAGAGUGGUAUCUAGACAUGCUUAAGACUAUGGCAUCUCAAAAUUUUUAACCCAGAAAUGUCCCUGUCCAAAGGAAAGAAAGGGACCAAAAAUGGAAGAGAAACUGAUAGAAAGGUCAUCCAGAGACCACCUUACCUAGGGAUCCAUCCCAUCUGAAGACACCAAACCUUGACACUAUUCUGAUGCUGAGACAUGCUUGCUGACAGGAGCCUGGUAUGGCUGCUCCCUGAGAGGUUCUACCAGCAUUUGAUCAAUACAGAUGCAGAUACAGACAACCAUUUGACUGAGCCCAGUGACCUCAAUGGAAGAGCUGGGAGAAGAACUGAAGGAGCUAAAAGGGAUUACAUAGGAAGAACAAUAUCAAUUAACUGGACCACAAAGAACCCCCAGAGUCUAGACCAAAAACCAAAAAGUAUGCAUGGAGGAGUCCUUGGCUCCAGAUACAUAUGUAGCAGAGCAUGGCCUUACCUGACAUCAGUGGGCAAGGAGGCCCUUGUUCUGUGGAGGCUUGAUGCCCCAGCGAAUGGGGACAGUCAGUCAGGAGUGCAUGAGUGGAUGCAGGAGCACCCUCAUAGAUGCCAUGUGGAAGGAGGAGGAGGGAUGGGAUACGAGAUUUGUAGAGGGAUAACUGGGAAGGGAGAUAUCAUUUGAAAUGCAAACAAAUAAAAUGACUAAUAAAAGAAAAAAAAAAAGACGAAGCACUGAGAAGUUCUGGAUCUGAGAGUAACAGCUCAGGAUUCCCAGGAUAGUCCUCUCCCUUCACCUUGCCUCCAAUCCCAGUUUUCCUAGAGUUUGAAUAAAAUACUUUUAUAAUCCUGUAUCACUGACUGGGAGGCAACUCUGAUAUCUUCUUUCUCAGCUAGUUGAAGGGUCUUCUCAUCUGGUUGUACUUUUAACAGAAAGACCAAUAGCUAAAGAGCAGAUGCCUGCAUCUAUUUCUUAAUCUCACUUUCUUUUACCAACAGAUACACCUGAC
rnacentral:lncRNA from 1 species